rnacentral:rRNA from 1 species
GUGGACGCCAGUCUGCAUGGAGCCGACCUUGAAAUACCACCCUUUAAUGUUUGAUGUUCUAACGUGGACCCGUAAUCCGGGUUGCGGACAGUGUCUGGUGGGUAGUUUGACUGGGGCGGUCUCCUCCUAAAGAGUAACGGAGGAGCACGAAGGUUGGCUAAUCCUGGUCGGACAUCAGGAGGUUAGUGCAAUGGCAUAAGCCAGCUUGACUGCGAGCGUGACGGCGCGAGCAGGUGCGAAAGCAGGUCAUAGUGAUCCGGUGGUUCUGAAUGGAAGGGCCAUCGCUCAACGGAUAAAAGGUACUCCGGGGAUAACAGGCUGAUACCGCCCAAGAGUUCAUAUCGACGGCGGUGUUUGGCACCUCGAUGUCGGCUCAUCACAUCCUGGGGCUGAAGUAGGUCCCAAGGGUAUGGCUGUUCGCCAUUUAAAGUGGUACGCGAGCUGGGUUUAGAACGUCGUGAGACAGUUCGGUCCCUAUCUGCCGUGGGCGCUGGAGAACUGAGGGGGGCUGCUCCUAGUACGAGAGGACCGGAGUGGACGCAUCACUGGUGUUCGGGUUGUCAUGCCAAUGGCACUGCCCGGUAGCUAAAUGCGGAAGAGAUAAGUGCUGAAAGCAUCUAAGCACGAAACUUGCCCCGAGAUGAGUUCUCCCUGAGACUUUAGGUCUCCUGAAGGAACGUUGAAGACGACGACG